CUUUGGAGUCCCCUAUGCUAAGGAUGCUCAGCUUACAGGUGAUGAAAUGUUCAGUAAUGGUGAGUUUUUCACCUUCUCUUUAAUUGCUAUGCUGAUCUGAAUAAGAAAAAAAAAAACAAAAGCAAGAGAAAAAAAAGGAUGGUUUAUUAUUUUUUACGCUAUUAUGUUUGUUUCCUCAGUAUUUGCUGCAGCUCUGCUUACCCAAGCUUUGGGUUCCUUCUGUCCCACUGGGAGUUGCCCAAUUUGGUUGCAUCUGGUGAAAUUCACCCUGAGACCUUACAGAACCAGCUCCAACUAUGUGAGAGCCAUUUGCAGUUCUCUCCAGACGCCUGGAGAAUGGGCGACGUUUCUGAGGAUCCGGCGAGCGUGCUUCUGUCAAAACUCAGUCUGUGAAAUUCCUGGGGAAAACCCUUCUGUGUCCUGAAGGGUUCAAACUCUGGUGAGGAUCCAGUUAUCAGGUGCUCACCUGGAUGGUUCCGGCUCCCAAAGGUAACACUUGUACUCUUGCCCUGUAGUUUACAUCUAUUGUAUUUUUGUUAUUUUGCAAGAUUUUUUGUCUUUGCAAAAUAUUGUGCAUUUCACUCUUUGGAACCUCUCAGAUGGUUCUUUGGUGCAGCACCACCCCAGGGGACACUUGGCUGCUGUCCUGAAGGGGUUGGUGGCUAGAAUUGUAAAUCCUGGAGAGUUUGUGAGUCUUCUGUCCCCAGGGAGGUGUCGUGCUUUGUUUACUUUUGUUCUGUUGGUUAGGCGCUGCUUCUCGUUGCAAGUAUGAAUUUCAAACUGCCCUGUUCUUAUUUUAGCUCUUUUCCUGGUUCUCCCCGCCCGGCAGGGAAAGACUCUCGUGUCCUUGUCGUCGGGCUCGGUGCUGUCCAAGAAGAUACGGGGACUAAAAAAAUCAUAAGAAGCAAAAUACGACUGCAGGGAAAAGAAGCUGGAGAGAACAGAAGAGCCCUGUUGUACUAAUCAUCAUACAAGUACAAAACAACAAAUCAGACCCUGUCCCAAGCACUUAGAGGCCAGAACACGAUUUCCUCGGGCUGCCAUUUGUGUGCCAUCGGUACUCACCACGGAAGGGAGCUGGGGAUUGUUGCAGCUGUUGGGAACAAACCGCUUCUCGUCACACAGAAAUGGAAUUGGGACGACGCCUCGGCCAGCCCCUCUCUGCCAUCGUCUCCUGAAUCUGCAGCAGAGCAGUUCCAGUCCAUCCCGGCACGUGUAAUCCAGUUCCUGAUGAUCUGAGCACACGGAGCAGUGCUCAGCUGCUGUGGGGGGCUCAGGGAAGGCAGAGUGUGCAUUGUCAUCUUCCUGAACCUACAGACAAAUCAAAGUGAGAAGCCACAGCGUGGAAAUCAGUCACAUAUAUGCUAAAUAAAACUUGCAGAUUUUUUUAAGAA